rnacentral:rRNA from 1 species
GAUGAACGCUGGCGGCGUGCCUAAUACAUGCAAGUCGAGCGAACAGAUGAGGAGCUUGCUCCUCUGACGUUAGCGGCGGACGGGUGAGUAACACGUGGAUAACCUACCUAUAAGACUGGGAUAACUUCGGGAAACCGGAGCUAAUACCGGAUAAUAUAUUGAACCGCAUGGUUCAAUAGUGAAGGACGGUUUUGCUGUCGCUUAUAGAUGGAUCCGCGCCGCAUUAGCUAGUUGGUAAGGUAACGGCUUACCAAGGCAACGAUGCGUAGCCGACCUGAGAGGGUGAUCGGCCACACUGGAACUGAGACACGGUCCAGACUCCUACGGGAGGCAGCAGUAGGGAAUCUUCCGCAAUGGGCGAAAGCCUGACGGAGCAACGCCGCGUGAGUGAUGAAGGUCUUCGGAUCGUAAAACUCUGUUAUUAGGGAAGAACAAAUGUGUAAGUAACUAUGCACGUCUUGACGGUACCUAAUCAGAAAGCCACGGCUAACUACGUG